rnacentral:rRNA from 1 species
UUUUUACUUCUAAAAAAUUAUCCUUUAAGUGAAGAGACUUAAAUAAAAUAAAAAGACAAAAAGACCCUAUUGAGCUUUAUUUCAUAAGUUAAGCUCCUAUACGUUACGCAAAAGAACUUUACCUACAGAAAUUUUGUUGGGGCGACAAGAGAAGACCUAAAUCUUCUCUAUACUACAAGAAUAUACCUCUACUAAUGAUCCGUAAUAAACGAUUAACAGAACCAGCUACCAUAGGGAUAACAGGCUAAUCUUCUUUGAGAGCCCAAAUUGACAAGAAGGAUUGGCACCUCGAUGUUGGCUUAGGAUACCUGAUAGAUGCAGAA